UACGGAGGGGGCUAGCGUUGUUCGGAAUUACUGGGCGUAAAGCGCACGUAGGCGGCUUUGUAAGUUAGAGGUGAAAGCCCGGAGCUCAACUCCGGAAUUGCCUUUAAGACUGCAUCGCUAGAAUCGUGGAGAGGUGAGUGGAAUUCCGAGUGUAGAGGUGAAAUUCGUAGAUAUUCGGAAGAACACCAGUGGCGAAGGCGACUCACUGGACACGUAUUGACGCUGAGGUGCGAAAGCGUGGGGAGCAAACAGG
rnacentral:rRNA from 1 species